UCGGCAAUUUUAUUUGCCAAAUGUUUCGGCAACACUGACAUAUGUAUAAUUUCGGCGCCAAUGUUCAACUUUCAAUUUUUUGGGGGUCAAAACAAGACUUUUGGAAUACUUUUCUCCAUUUCCUUCCCUACGAAUUAUCAGAUUCAUUACAAGAAAAAUAAUCGGACAUUGUCGGAAAUUUUGAUGGAGCCACGGCCAUAGGAGAUUGCCGGCGGAAGGCCGACCGACGGACGUCAGCAGUCUUAUACUGAAAUGUCAGACGCAACCAACGACGAUUGUAAAAAACCCCCCACCGACGCACUCCACCGCUAUCACUGCUCUUCUUCACCACCACACCGCCUAGUGUCAAUUCUCAUCUCUUUAUUGUUAAUUUUCUAUUUGCUCUUUUUCUCUCACUCACUCUUAAUUUCUCAUCUCUCUCAUAGUUACCACCGCAUUCCACCACCGCCGCCACAGCACCUUUGACGGUGAAGUCUCUCAUUAGCCGGCACCCACUCGCCGUCGUCGUCCCUGACUCGACUGUAGGUGAAUGUAUUCCUAGAUGGUACAGGUGAAUGUAUUCCAGUUUCUGAAGCUGAGCUACCUCUUACCCUACCUGAGUUGGAUGAUUUUACUCCAACUGGGACUGGGGAGCCACCAUUGACGAAGGCCCUUUCUUGGGUACAAACAGUUGACCAAUCUCUGGGAAAUCAGCUCAGCGGGAGACAAACACUAUGCCUCAAUGGGCUGGUUCUUGCUGUUUUCUUGCUUGGUACAAGGCUCACUAAAUAUUUAUGGAGCCACGGCUGUAGGAGAUUGCCGGCGGAAGGCUGACCACGGACGUCGGUAGUCCUAUACUGAAAUGUCAGACGCAACCAACGACCACAGUAAAAUCCCCCCACCGCCGCACUCCAAUUGAGGUCUUGGCACUAAAGCACCAUACAUCCAAGCUCUUGGAUUUUUCAGACCUCCGAUCAUUAACGACUUUCAGAUUUAGAGUGGAGGCACUGAGUUCACUUUGUUCAUUAGGGGAGUUGACUGUGGAGACACAGAUAAUUGAUGACACUGUUGCAACGCACCUGACAUUUAAUCCUAUGGGUGUUAUGACAGCUGAGAGGAAAACUGGUCGUCAAGUAGGACAUGGUGGCAACAACAUUACUUGGCGUUAGUCAUAGCAUUUGUUGUAGUGGUUCUAAUUGGACUGCUGGCAUUUGGGGGGUGGUUUAUCUGGAGGAGGAACCAAAAACUGGGCCGAAGUCUCGUACAAGCCCGUUGAUUCAGUUGUAGCCGAGCAGGAACUCCAGACUUUGCAGAACUAGAGAAGUGAAUUUUUGGUGUAUGGCAGAAUUUCAUUUCAGCAACCUCUGCCAUGAAAGUGAAUUCUUGCUUUCAUAAAUUUAGAAUGUUUAGUCACAUGAACAUUUUAUAUAGGAUCACAGCAUCAAUGAAUAAGUAAACAUUUCUUGUGUA